rnacentral:rRNA from 1 species
GGUGAACGCUGGCGGCGGGCCUAACACAUGCAAGUCGAACGGCAACACAGUGAGCGCUCGCCUUUACGGGUGGCGAGUGGCGGACGGGUGAGGCAUACAUCGGAAUCUACUUUUUCGUGGGGGACUUCGUAGGGAAACUGACGCUAAUACCGCAUAUGAUCUACGGCUUAAAUCAGUGGAUCUUGACAGCUUUCGCGUCUCAUUGAGCCGAUGUCGCAUUAGCUAGUUGGCGGGGUAAAGGCCCACCAAGGCGACGAUCCGUAGCUGGUCUGAGAGGAUGAUCAGCCACACUGGAACUGAGACACGGUCCAGACUCCUACGGGAGGCAGCAGUGGGGAAUAUUGGACAAUGGGCGCAAGCCUGAUCCAGCCAUACCGCGUGGGUGAAGAAGGCCUUCGGGUUGUAAAGCCCUUUUGUUGGGAAAGAAAAGCAGCAGGUUAAUACCCCGCUGUUCUGACGGUACCCAAAGAAUAAGCACCGGCUAACUUCGUG